AUUGAACGCUGGCGGCAGGCCUAACACAUGCAAGUCGAACGGUAACAGGAAGCAGCUUGCUGCUUCGCUGACGAGUGGCGGACGUGUGAGUAAUGUCUGGGAAACUGCCUGAUGGAGGGGGAUAACUACUGGAAACGGUAGCUAAUACCGCAUAACGUCGCAAGACCAAAGAGGGGGACCUUAGGGCCUCUUGCCAUCGGAUGUGCCCAGAUGGGAUUAGCUAGUAGGUGGGGUAACGGCUCACCUAGGCGACGAUCCCUAGCUGGUCUGAGAGGAUGACCAGCCACACUGGAACUGAGACACGGUCCAGACUCCUACGGGAGGCAGCAGUGGGGAAUAUUGCACAAUGGGCGCAAGCCUGAUGCAGCCAUGCCGCGUGUAUGAAGAAGGCCUUCGGGUUGUAAAGUACUUUCGGCGGGGAGGAAGGGAGUAAAGUUAAUACCUUUGCUCAUUGACGUUACCCGCAGAAGAAGCACCGGCUAACUCCGUG
rnacentral:rRNA from 1 species